rnacentral:miRNA from 1 species
CUGUGGGCUGGGCUGGGAAGCA